GAUGAACGCUGGCGGCGUGCUUAAUACAUGCAAGUCGAGCGAACAGAUGAUGAUUUCGCUCUUCUGACGUUAGCGGCGGACGGGUGAGUAACACGUGGAUAACCCACCUAUAAGACUUGGAUAACUUCGGGAAGCCGGAGUUAAUACCGGAUAAUAUAUUGAACCGCAUGGUUGAAUAGUUAAUGACGUGUUUGCUGUCACUGAUAGAUGUAUGCGCGCCGCAUGAGCUAGUUGGUAAGGUAACGGCUUACCAAGGCAACGAUGCGUAGCCGACCUGAGAGGGUGAUCGCGCACACUGGAACUGAGACACGGUCCAGACUCCUACAGGCGGCAGCGAUAGCGAAGCUUGCGCGAUGGGCGGAAGACUGCAGGAGCGGCGCAGCGUGAGUGCUGAAGGUCUUCGGAUCGUAAGACUCUGUUAUUAGGGAAGAACAAAUGUGUAAGUAACUAUGCACGUCUUGACGGUACCUAGUCAGAAAGCACCGGCUAACUACGUG
rnacentral:rRNA from 1 species